ensembl:antisense Gm16308 predicted gene 16308
GGCUCUGAACCAGGACUCAUGCCCACACUCCUAGCCAACCACUCUCAAGACCCCUGAGUGACACUCUGAGGAGAAAAAUCAUUGACUCAGUGCUAGGCAUGUACAAGGCUCCAAUAUUCAAGAUCAAACAGUCACAGGACAGUGGGAACAAAGUUAUCUGAAGGAGAGACAAGAAGGGAAGGCAAGAAUGGCAGAGACCACUUCCAUCUCUCUCCUUCCAGGCUGUGGGGAAAGCCUGCCAGCUUGUUACCCAUCUGACUUGUGAAGAAAGCUGAGAUAAAUUCUUUGCAGGACCGUGGAAAACAACCAUGGACAGAGUGGGGGACCAGAUACCAUCCAUGUAGUACAACAGCUGACCAGACACAGGACUGUGGGCAAACCAGCCAUGCACAGCCCUGAAUGGAGCAAGAGCCUGUGCAGGCUUCCCAGGAGCACCCUGUAAUGAGAUAAGAGGACAGCAGUCACUUAACCACUGCCAUCUAUGCCGCUAUCUUUGUCUUUUGUCUGCACUGCACUUCCUGGAGAAAAGGGAUGUAGAGAAGCAAAGACCCCCAUCUACCUCACCCCCACCCCAAAAUCUUGUACCAGGGGAAAAACGUGACUCUCCUGGGAACACCCUGGCACUCACAGCCUGGUUCAUAGGUACUUGGCCACUCAGUAGCAGCCAAAUUAUAAACAAGCACUGGAAAACAGAGCAAUUGAGGAAUCCAAGGAAGUGAAUGGACAAACUGUGUACAUGUUGGACCACAGAUCAGAAGUGGAGAACAGUGGACCUGAUUCCAGCUGUCCCAGUGGUCAUAUGAAAAGGGCAGAAUCCUCUGCUACAGAUGGAUCAGCAGUGGCAAAGAGGAUGGGGUGGGGUAGGGAGGUCACGGAGGGAAGCCUGGAAAGGGGGACUAACAUUUGUAAUGUAAACAAAUAAAAUGAUUAAUAAUUUUUUU